GACUUUGUGAUCUCCUAUCACAAGAAGUGAAAUUCAUAAGCUAUUUCAUAUAGAAAUCUUCAAAAGAUAUCUAGUCAAAAAAGCUAAUUCACAUCUUUUUCUUGGAGUCGAUGUUUUACAUUGCCUCAUUGGAGGUUCUGAGAUCAUCUCUAUGUUCCCCAUCUCCUAUGAGAAACAACUUUUUCUACAUUCUUUGUUAAGCAUACACCAAUACCUUUCGAGAGAAUUGGAGAUUCUACUAUGUAUACGAGGUGGAAGAGGAAUAUACGUCUACUGGUUCAUGAUGAAUAGAUUCUUUAGGUCCUACAGCUCGUUGCUCAUCAGCGACACUCUCUUUGAGCUUAACCUUCCUUUCACUGCUUUAUCUUGGUUAAAUAAUUUUUCAAGAAGAUAGCAUGUCGGAUCACAAUCACAUUGUGAUCCUUUCAGAAAGUAGUAUUCCAAACUCUUUUAGGAUGAGCUUUAUAGACCUAUCCUCUAAUAUAUCUACC
rnacentral:lncRNA from 1 species